rnacentral:rRNA from 1 species
GACGGAGGGUGCUAGCGUUGUUCGGAAUGACUGGGCGUAAAGGGCGCGUAGGCGGCCGCUUGCGUCGGAUGUGAAAGCCCGGGGCUCAACCCCGGAACGGCAUCCGAUACGGGGCGGCUCGAGACCGAGAGAGGUGAGUGGAAUACCCAGUGUAGAGGUGAAAUUCGUAGAUAUUGGGUGGAACACCGGUGGCGAAAGCGGCUCACUGGCUCGGUUCUGACACUGAGGCGCGAAAGCGUGGGGAGCAAACAGG